CCCCACUUCCAGGAGACCCCAGCUGGGUCUAGCAAUAGCCUCAAUAACCCAUUGAAUAGCCAGAACCAGAUGGCUGGAGGGCAUCUUGCUUGGCUGGCUCCUGGUUGUCCAGCUUCUGGUCAAUGUGUGGCUUCUGUGCCUUCUGUCUGUGUUGCUAGUGGUGCCACUGUGCCACUGUCUGGGGGCUGCAGGUCAACUGCACCUAGAAUGCUUCAUCCCAAUGCUGCUUGCUCUCCAAGCCCUGAGGCAGAAAAGCAGCUGGAACACGAGAUCAACCACAUUAUCCAGAUGAUUACUCAGGACUUUGUGUAAUUCUGAUAUUGCUUAGUAAGCCAGCCACUGAGAAAGCAUGGAGGAAGCAUGGCGGCCAUGAAAGGGCUGGCUCAGGAGCUUAGGAGGAGGAUGGGCAUGGUGGGACAGUCAUGCGCUCGCCCAGAGGAUUCUGAUUCUGUGGUUGUCACCUGCAGAGCUAUAUUUAGGCAAAGAAGGCCACUGCAGGGAAGCGGAGCAGUACAGUUGAACCCUGGGAGGCUUACUGCUCGGCUAUUGCCCCACAUCCUGCUGUGCA
rnacentral:lncRNA from 1 species